rnacentral:lncRNA from 1 species
AAAUGUUUGUUACAUCAAUGAACUACAAUUUUACAAUGUAAACAAAUAUAAAAAUACUUUUUUUUAUAAAUAAGUUCAGUUCUACAUCAAAUUCAAAAUAGUCAAUAAAAUAAUGGUAUGUGGCAAGAAACAUGCUUACUAGUUGAGUUUGCUUGUUUAAGAGUCAUUACAAAAGGGUUAUAACAAACAGCAAACAUAAGCAGCUUGGUAUCAUAAGAAUAUUAAUGAAUAAUCUCCCUUGCUUGCAAUAUUUGUCGAUCUAAAUAAAAAAAAAAACAAAUAUAUCAAAUAGCAAAAAAUUAAACAACAAGCAUAACAUAAUUGCUAAUUUCAAACCAAUAUGCUGCUUCAGACAUUAAUUCAAAUUUUAUAGGAUCUCACCCUAAAUGAAUACACAAGUCAAAAAAGUCAAUUUUCAAAAUAUAUACAAUUAAAUAAAAUAGCACACAACUAAAUUUUAUCAACUAAAUUAUGAAAUUUCAUGCACAAAAGUAUCAAAUAUUAAAUGUACUAGGACAAUUGAAUGAAAAUAAUAAGUUUUUUUAAGAUUAAUUGUUCAUUAAUGUUCAACAUGUUAAAUAGAGAUAACAAUUGGUAAACUGUUAAAUAUACAGAGUUAUCUCCCAUUGACCAAAAUAUAUAAAUAAUGUGGUGAAAUCUUACAUUGAAAAUCUAAGACAGCAAAUACCAGAGACACUCAAAUAAGCUACACUCAAAUUAUCAUUCAGCAUUUAAUUAAUCAGAAAAACCAAAAGAAAGUUAAUUAAAUUUUUUUUCUUCAAAGUUUGGUAUCAUAAGAAUAUUAAUGAAUAAUCUCCCUUGCUUGCAAUAUUUGUCGAUCUAAAUUAAAAAAAAAAACAAAUAUAUCAAAUAGCAAAAAAUUAAACAACAAGCAUAACAUAAUUGCUAAUUUCAAACCAAUAUGCUGCUUCAGACAUUAAUUCAAAUUUUAUAGGAUCUCACCCUAAAUGAAUACACAAGUCAAAAAAGUCAAUUUUCAAAAUAUAUACAAUUAAAUAAAAUAGCACACAACUAAAUUUUAUCAACUAAAUUAUGAAAUUUCAUGCACAAAAGUAUCAAAUAUUAAAUGUACUAGGACAAUUGAAUGAAAAUAAUAAGUUUUUUUAAGAUUAAUUGUUCAUUAAUGUUCAACAUGUUAAAUAGAGAUAACAAUUGGUAAACUGUUAAAUAUACAGAGUUAUCUCCCAUUGACCAAAAUAUAUAAAUAAUGUGGUGAAAUCUUACAUUGAAAAUCUAAGACAGCAAAUACCAGAGACACUCAAAUAAG